AGAGACCAAUGGCACACAAUGAUGUUAGGAUUACCCUCGAACCCUCUGCUCUUUAUUUAUUGUGGCAGGUGCACAGGCUUGGGUGUCUUUAUGGCGAGGGAAAUCUGUCAUAUGUUAUUCUGACAACAUGCUGGUUGUGAAAUAACAAAGGAAGGUCCUCUUCUUUAACUAUAAUGAGACUGAUCAGGAAACUGACAUGACUGCGGCAACAAAUCACUUUUACCUGGCCUGGGUGCACGUUCCAGGUUGCCAUAACACAGCACCUGGUGCUCUGUCUCGUUCUAACUUGCAAGUGUUUUUCUGCAUGAACCCCACAGCAGCAAGACAUUCAUCCAAAACACCAGUAUUCCAGGACCUCAUUCUGCAUUAGCCCAUCUAAUAGCCAAUGAAAGGUAAUUAAAGUGAUCUGGGUGCAGUGUCCCUGUCC